UACGUAGGGUGCAAGCGUUGUCCGGAAUUAUUGGGCGUAAAGAGCUCGUAGGCGGUUUGUCGCGUCGGCUGUGAAAACCCGGAGCUCAACUCCGGGCCUGCAGUCGAUACGGGCAGACUUGAGUGUUGCAGGGGAGACUGGAAUUCCUGGUGUAGCGGUGAAAUGCGCAGAUAUCAGGAGGAACACCGGUGGCGAAGGCGGGUCUCUGGGCAACAACUGACGCUGAGGAGCGAAAGCGUGGGGAGCGAACAGG
rnacentral:ncRNA from 2 species